UGAAUGCAGAGAAAAAGGGAGGGAGAGAAGGGCAGGCAGGUGAGGAUGGAGAGGGGCUGACUGUGCUGGGACAGGAGGGGCUGUGAGCGCCGGACCAUGGGCAUGGAGAUGUGCAGCCCUAUGGCUGGAAUCCAUAAGCAAACACCUGCUGCCACCGAAACUGCUCCUGCCCAGCAUGGUGUAGAAUGGAAUCUGGGGCAGGAGGGGCUGGCGGGUCCCUGUUUGCUCACAUUCCUCUUCUCUUGCAGUUUCGGGAUGAUGGGGGGGCAGGGAUGUGUGCCCGAGGGCUGAUGGGCUCCCAAGGCUCAGGGCUUGGAAGCCAACAGAACGCCACUCACGAGCAGUUUGUGACAGGCUAUAAGCAGAAGCAGCAGAUGUUUGUUUAAGGAGAAAAAAAGAAAAAGGAAUGAGGCAACAAUCCAGAAUUUUGCUGAUAUAAACACGAUACCAGCACUGAACACAACUGAAGGAAGACGAAAACAUCCCAAAGACAUAAAACAUCAGGCACCCUGGAGAACCUCCAGCCUACAUGCGCCGAAAUCCAUCAGCCUCGGAGAAAUGAGUGCUUAACUCCUUUUCAAUCCCCGAGAUUAAUGGUGGGCUCCGAGCGAGAGAUGUUCACCCCUCCCUGGGUAUGGACAAAGGGUACCCCGGAGCCAUGGUCGUCCCAUAGAGCGUGUGUUGACAAGGGCAGACAUCACUGGAGGGCACUGAGGAGGGAAAGCAGGUCAGGAGGGAUCGUUCCCGGCUGUGUACCUGGCGCCCCAAAGCUGGCACGUACCCCCAGCGGGACACAAGGAGCAGAUGCAUCAUGGCAGGGAUGCUCAUGUCCCUCUGCGGUGGCAGACAGAUGAGCCCAACCCUGCUCCUCCAGCUCUGCUGCAUUUCAGGUCCACUUCCUUGAUGCUGGAAGUAGAAGCGAAGAUGAAUA
ensembl:lncRNA